rnacentral:rRNA from 1 species
UACGGGGGGGAGCAAGCGUUGUUCGGAUUUACUGGGCGUAAAGGGCGCGUAGGCGGUCAGCACAAGUCAGUUGUGAAAUCUCCGGGCUUAACUCGGAAAGGUCAACUGAUACUGUGCGACUAGAGUGCGGAAGGGGCAACUGGAAUUCUCGGUGUAGCGGUGAAAUGCGUAGAUAUCGAGAGGAACACCUGCGGCGAAGGCGGGUUGCUGGGCUGACACUGACGCUGAUGCGCGAAAGCCAGGGGAGCGAACGGG